UUAAACAAAAUACUACUCUCAUCAAAACAUUAAUUUGUUCAAUUAUAAAAACAUAAAAACAUUAAUUUAUUCAAUUAUAACAACAUAAUUAGCAUUUGAGUUGACCCAUGUGAUUAAGACUAAAUAAAGAAUAUAAAUAAGAAUAUGAAUGAUAAUAGAUAGAGUAUCACUUUAUUGAAUAACAUUCAGUUUAUAUUUCCCACCAACUUCGGAACUUGGAAGACUAAUGCAAUAUAUACACCAAGUAGCCAGCACAACACCCUUUAAUAACUUCAUAGCACUCCAGCAAACACAUCCUGAUGUUAGAGGUAUCCAGUACCGAGACGAAAUCGAAAGUCACAAAACUAUGUUUUCUUUAUGUCAACACAUCUGAAUUGGGCCAUCUGUGAAGUUGUUACCUCACCUAUGACUGCUUUCUGUUUUCGUUGUAACUCACCACUUAUGAUACAUUCCCAUUUUCUAAGAGCAUCAUCUUUUGAGUUUGUAAGCCAAUCAAAAAUAGGUUCACUAUAAUCUAUUGCAGAUGGAUCCCUUGUAUCAUUGCAAAACACAUCUUCUAUGAGAAAAUAUCCGGAUGGAUCAUAAUGCCCUGCCUUUUGCAUCACUUGGUCUGUCAUGCAAUAAAUCUUGUCCCUCAUUUCAAUUAACAUUUGUCCACCUAGGACCAAAAAUUUUCUAUCUUUAACUAGUGUCGUAUGUUGUGAUACACCCCGAAGUAAAGAACAACCUCUGGAUGAUGUACAGGUAUGUGUUCUUGAACAUUUGAGGGCUUUAACUGCUGUUUCCCAGAAUUUGUAGAUGGUAGCAUUUUCAGCCUUUCACUGCUCUCUGGCUCCGAGGAUGGAAUGGCACCCUUGUUGGCUUUGAAACUAGCACGAGACCGAAAUAAGAGGCAAUAAUAAAGCUAAAUUCAAAGGAUGCAUCAAUUACACAUAAUUGAAUACUUAUAUACUAAAACAUACUUAAAUGAAUGCAGCCUGACAGUUGCUUUGUCUUGAUCCUGCUUUUGUUUGAUUUUCAAUACUUCAUCCACCUUCGCAAAGCAACUCUCGCCAACAUCACAUUUAUUUGCCUUCUUUCCUUUUCCCUUCCUUGAAUUGUUGUUAUUGAUAGUUCUAUUACAGCUGGUUCCACUAUGAGAUCCAUCUGAAGAUUUCAACAGUCUUUGUCUCUUCCUUGACUUCUUGUUAGCAAUUGUUCCGUUGCAAUAAGUUUCUCCAUUUAAUGAUUCCAAAGUGGCUGAAGGAUCUCCUAAUUCAGAGCUUUCCAAAUCUGUAUUAUUGCUUGAAUCCCUAAUAUCAUUUUCUCUCCUGGCAAUCAAGCCCUCUGAGGAUGGCCGCAAGGAACUUUCAUUCUUCUUCUCAUCAUAUGAUUAGCAUCCAUGAAAACAUUUAGUUGAGUUUCUCUGAUUGCAUAAUACAUAGGUUUUAGAACAAAAAUAUUUAACCUACAUUCAGAGUUUCCUUCAAGGCCAUCUCCACCAAAUCCUCGUCGCUAUAAAUUUUAAGCUCAUCAAUCGAAAUAUUAUCAUCAUUGGAUGGUGAAAUAGCAUGCAAGCACAAUUCAUCCUUCAAAUCCUCAAGUUCAUAGAAAAGAGCAGACUCAAAGUCAGGAACCCUGGUUAGAGGUCCCACUAAGUUGGGAACGUAAAUAGGUCCCCCACGAGCAAUUGCAACACUCAUCUCUUGAUCCGCAUCUCCAUCACUUGAAUUUAUCAUCUCCAUCUCUAGCUUUGUUCUUCCUGAAUGGAGAAAGAGGGCAAAGGAGUUGACAGGACACCCAGAUCUAUAUUGGACUAAUCUCGUGAAAUAAGAGAUUUUGGAGCUGCUGGCCUUGUAUUAUUCUUGAUAGCUAUUGCUUAAGAUACAGAUUAACCAUCAAUCUAUGAUAGAGCUGUUAAUCUCAGGUGUUGAAUAGAUAAUUUAGGGAAAGGAAUGGAGGGAGAGAGAGCUGAAAUUGUGUAUCAAAGAAAAACACAGAGAGAGAGAGACCUGAACCAAAUGAAAUUAAGAAUGUAGAACAGCAGAACCAAGUACAGCUCCGACCUUCCACGAUGAUACUUUUUUUUUUUUUUUUUAACACGCAGCACAUAACAAAUUAGUUAUCCUGUUCAGUGUUUGGUAAUUUUUGAUCAAAAAUAGACAAAGGGCAAAAAAUGGCAAUACCACUAUAUUUAUCUUGGGCGGAGUGUGGUAAUUAACAGGGCCUGAUAACAUUGAAUAGUGAAACAGCAGGGAAAACCUAUGCCAGCAAUCAUACCUUUGAAGGCUAAUGUAACUGUGAGUGUGUGUAGAAGACAUUGUUGAAACCGACUAACUAGUUGCUGGUGGUGGUGGAACAUGGCGGAAAGAAGCCUAAGAGCAUGCUUGCAAUUUCACCUUUUGAGGCUAAUGUAACAAGGUUGAAAUCACAUGAUGCACUCUAGACAUAAAUGGAGAACCAACAGGUAAAAGGGUAUCCCUAGUCCAAGACGCUAGAACAGGUAUUAAAUGCAAAAGCAAUUCUCCAAAGAAGAAAGGAUCACACAUAAAAUGUAAAUAAAAGAAACUAAUCAGAAUUCCUUAAGCAGAUAAAAGACCAUGACAAUGUUUUUCCUGGGGCCAAAAAGAGAUUCACUUGACCAAAACUGCUUUUUCUUUGGCACUCUAAUAGGCAUUGAAAAACAAAGUUUGAAAACCUCUGUUAUUGGAGAUAGAUAGUACAGAAAAAGUAAUUAAACAUUAAUGCAAAAUUGAAAUAAGGUGCAUAUAAUGAUGUUUAAUCUGAAUACUGUUCAGUUUUUUGAGAAGUAUCUUCACCAUUUAUUGCCUUCUUUCGCAUGUGAGUAGUUUUGACUUUUAAGAACUCUAUACAGUAAGAUGCAGAAUAUGAACAAAAUAUUUCAACAGCAAUAAUGAAAAGACACACAUAUAGUCAAUAACAUAUUUAUAUGAUAAAAGAGCAUUAACACUAAGGUUGAAAUCUGUAAUGUGUUUACCUUCUCUAUAUUUUCUUCAUUCAGCUCAAGCCCAGUUUCUUCAUCUGCAAUUGGUUCUACUGCAACUAUUUCAGGAAUCUUUUCCAUUAAGCGACGCUCAAUACCCAUCUUCAUUGUCAUAACAGAACUUGGACAGGAGCCACAGGCUCCUUGUAGCUUCAACCGCACAACAUUACCAUCAAUCUCAUGUAAUGCGACAUUACCCCCAUCUGCAAUGAGAUAUGGUCGAACUUCAUCCAAUACUCUGUCAACAUUCUCUGCAGUUAAUGGCAAUUCCAAUGCUGAAUCUGGUGUGGCAACAGCCUUUACAACAAGUCUCCGCUUCAAGACAGGCGACCGAAUCCGCACGGAACGGCAAGGGAUGCGCCUGAGCUGAUUACGCCCCCGCUUAAGUGAGACCCGGGUGCCAAAAAAACUUGAACUCUUGGAGGGGCGAGAAGAGGAAGGAGAAUCUAGGGUUUGCUGAGCCCUACAGUAAGUUGGGUUGAACACCAUAGCUUGCAUCAUCUCUCUCUCUUGAUUGCGAGAUAAAAAACCGAGAGAGACACAGAGUUUAUACGAAUUCAAUAAAAAAAAAGCUGAUAAAUUGAUGAAUCGCUGGUUAUAGAGAUAAAUCGCCUCUGCGCUCUGCGAGUUCUGGCUGGCGCUGCCUUUUCUUUUCUUUUCUAUUCUAUUCUAUUUUCUCUGGUCUAGUAUGGACGGCUUUGUAUGGAGUUUGUUUUCAUUUGUGGAUGUGGCAGGUAACUUGGAG
rnacentral:misc_RNA from 1 species